CCCCAUUUUGUUCGAUGCGAUUUUGAAGGCUCUGUGGCAAUUUUUGUAUGCCCAUUGAUACAACCUCGCCGCCAAUUUGGAAACUCAUCAUAUGCACACUAUUCGAUAUUGCAACUUUACCGUUAAAAUUUUAUAAAUGGUGCUUCGGGAACCUCUAGGAACAAAAAUGCGUAGAUUAUUUAAAGUUAUUCCCCGAUUUUCAGUCAUGGUUUGCUCAACCGUCGUGACUGUCUCGUCGGAAUUGACACUCUCUUACCUUCCGCUUCUUUCUUCGUUGUGAAGUUUUCAGUACGUUCAGCUGCAAACUCCCUACACCACUUGUGGAAUUUCUGACAUUCUUGCACGACUCGUCAUACACUUCCAUCAAUUAGCGAUGAAUUUGAAUCGGAUUAACAUGACAUGGCGGCGAGCUAAUAUGACAUGGGCAUACAAAAACUGCCACAGAGCCUACAAAAAUGGAAUCGAUCGAAGUGGCGAUUAUAUUCAAAAACAGAUAAAGGUUCAAGUUUUAAAAUGGCGUAAACUUUAUUGAAAAAAAAAACUUUGUUUGUAUUUUUUAAAAUAUAGAAGACUUUAAUUUUGAGAUUACCCUCAUAUAUUGUUUAUUCACAAUAUCAUGGUCACAUAUACGUUUUUCAGGACGUGAUGGCAUACCAGGACGAAGGGGAAACGAUGGAACACCUGGUAUUAAAGGAGAAAAGGGACAGAAAGGGGAGAGAGGCGAUUUUCAACGACCGAUAGAAAACGUUCCAAUAAAAGAUUGUGUAUUUGAGAAAAUUGAAAAUCUACAAACUUUUCAAAUGCCAGAGAAUUUUAGGGG